AUUUAUAAUCUGGCACCUUCGGUGUCCGAGUUGUAAUCUCUAGAAAUGUUUUCCGCGUUGGACCGCACACAAGUCUGUUGGAAUACAGCGGCAUAGUGGUGAGACCCCCGUAUAUGGUGCGGACGCCCAGCGCUUUGUGAUACAUUUUCGAAGAGUCGAGUUGUUUGGGAAUGCAGCUCAAAUUGGGUGGUAAAUUCCAUCUAAAGCUAAAUAUUGGCGAGAGACCGAUAGCGAACAAGUACCGUGAGGGAAAGAUGAAAAGCACUUUGGAAAGAGAGUUAACAGUACGUGAAAUUGUUGGAAGGGAAACGCUUGAAGUCAGACUUGCUUGCCGAGCAAUCGGUUUGCAGGCCAGCAUCAGUUUUCCGGGAUGGAUAAUGGUAGAGAGAAGGUAGCAGUUUCGGCUGUGUUAUAGCUCUCUGCUGGAUACAUCUUGGGGGACUGAGGAACGCAGUGUGCCUUUUGGCGGGGGUUUCGACCUCUUCACACUUAGGAUGCUGGUGGAAUGGCUUUAAACGACCCGUCUUGAAACACGGACCAAGGAGUCUAACAUGCUUGCGAGUAUUUGGGUGUCAAACCCGGAUGCGUAAUGAAAGUGAAUGGAGGUGGGAACCGCAAGGUGCACCAUCGACCGAUCUGGAUUUUUAAUGAUGGAUUUGAGUAAGAGCACGUAUGUUGGGACCCGAAAGAUGGUGAACUAUGCCUGAAUAGGGCGAAGCCAGAGGAAACUCUGGUGGAGGCUCGUAGCGGUUCUGACGUGCAAAUCGAUCGUCAAA
rnacentral:rRNA from 1 species